GACGAACGCUGGCGGCGUGCUUAACACAUGCAGGUCGAACGGAAAGGCCCUGCUUUUGUGGGGUGCUCGAGUGGCGAACGGGUGAGUAACACGUGAGUAACCUGCCCUUGACUUUGGGAUAACUUCAGGAAACUGGGGCUAAUACCGGAUAGGAGCUCCUGCUGCAUGGUGGGGGUUGGAAAGUUUCGGCGGUUGGGGAUGGACUCGCGGCUUAUCAGCUUGUUGGUGGGGUAGUGGCUUACCAAGGCUUUGACGGGUAGCCGGCCUGAGAGGGUGACCGGCCACAUUGGGACUGAGAUACGGCCCAGACUCCUACGGGAGGCAGCAGUGGGGAAUAUUGCACAAUGGGCGGAAGCCUGAUGCAGCAACGCCGCGUGCGGGAUGACGGCCUUCGGGUUGUAAACCGCUUUCGCCUGUGACGAAGCGUGAGUGACGGUAAGGGGUAAAGAAGCACCGGCUAACUACGUGC
rnacentral:rRNA from 1 species